UACGGGGGGAGCAAGCGUUGUUCGGAUUUACUGGGCGUAAAGGGCGCGUAGGCGGCGCAACAAGUCACUUGUGAAAUCUCCGGGCUUAACCCGGAGCGGCCAAGUGAUACUGUCGUGCUAGAGUGCGGAAGGGGCUACUGGAAUUCUCGGUGUAGCGGUGAAAUGCGUAGAUAUCGGGCGGAACACAGCGGCGAAGGCGGCGACCGUGGCCCUGACCUGACGCUGAGGCGCGAGAGCGUGGGGAGCGAAC
rnacentral:rRNA from 1 species